GACUCCCAUCUCUGCUUCUUUCGACAUCCCUUGCUUUGAGCAGCUUUCAACUUUGAUGGACUCAAACGAUUCGUUCACAAACAAGGAAAAUUCUCCUCCCACAACACUUCCUAGGUUGCUCUCGGCUUCCUCCAGACAGGCUAAUGCCGUUUUCCUGCACCAGUCACUCCCUGGACUUUCAGUUUCAGCAUGGAUCUGGAAAAUCAUGGUUUUGGCUGAGUUUUUGCUUGAAUUUGAGGUGAUGAUGUUAAGGGAGGCACCAUUGGUGUUUUUCAGACCAGGAAGGUAGAAUAAAGGAAGCUUUUGUUCAUCGUUUUUGUUGAUAAUAACCUUGUUGUGAAUAUCUGCCCAUGUCUUAAGGAACUCUUU
rnacentral:lncRNA from 1 species